UACGUAGGGGGCAAGCGUUGUCCGGAUUUAUUGGGCGUAAAGAGCGUGUAGGCGGCCAAGUAAGUCUGCUGUGAAAACUCGAGGCUUAACCUCGAGCUGUCGGCGGAAACUAUUUGGCUAGAGUCCGGAAGAGGAGAAUGGAAUUCCCGGUGUAGCGGUGAAAUGCGCAGAUAUCGGGAAGAACACCUAUGGCGAAGGCAGCUCUCUGGGACGGUACUGACGCUGAGACGCGAAAGCGUGGGGAGCGAACAGG
rnacentral:rRNA from 1 species